UUUCCACCUGGUGUGUUCUCUAAGACAGACAGCUAUGUCAGAAGGCGAUGGAGACAAAUCCAGUAUCUCGCUGAUUUAUUUUGGACUAGAUGGCGAAAGGAAUACUUACCUCUAUUGCAGCGCAGAACAAAAUGGACAAAACCGACAAGAAAUAUGCAAGUAGGAGACAUAGUUCCCAUUUCCGACAAUGCACCGAGAAAUUCGUGGAACAUGGCUCGUGUGAUUGAACUAAUCAAAGACAAGGACAAUGUUGUUAGAAUUGUCAAAGUGAAAACCGCAAAUUCUGUGUUAACGAGACCAAUUGCGAAACUGUGUCUUCUUGUAGAAAGUGACUAAAAACCCACAGCUGCCACCAAACUCGUGGAAUGAUAGACAUUUAUUGAACAUUAUGAUAUAAUUGUCCUUUUGAUUUAUUUUUGAUAAUUGCGUUCUAGUUAAGAACCCAAUUUAGGGGCUGGUAUGUAAAGGCCAAUUUCUUGUUUUGAAUUGUAACAAAUUUCGUUUUGCAAAUUUAUUGAUUUUUGAUGAAACUAAUCUAGGUACAUUGGUUACUUUCCCCAUCAUAUUUUUCCCUGAAAAUUGAGAAACGUGUCACGACAAUUUUGAACCCUUUAAUUUUGAAUUAUAUAGAAAUAUCAGAGUCAACAAAUAAGUCAAUCUCAUCUUACUGUUUAUACUUUGGAUCCAGUCACUUCACUGUAACUUGGAAUAUUUUGGAAUAAACUUGAGGUGUGAA